rnacentral:rRNA from 1 species
UCAAGCAUGUAAGAGCGUAGGGUGGAUGCCUUGGCACUAAGAGCCGAUGAAAGACGUGAUAAGCUGCGAUAAGCUUCGGGGAGGAGCAAAUAUCCUUUGAUCCGGAGAUCUCUGAAUGGGGAAACCCGGCUGUAUGGACUACAGUCAUCCAUAAGUGAAUCCAUAGCUUAUGGAAGGGAACCCGGGGAACUGAAACAUCUAAGUACCCGGAGGAAGAGAAAGAAACAUUCGAUUCCGUAAGUAGCGGCGAGCGAACGCGGAAGAGCCCAAACCGUGAUGCGUGCAUCGCGGGGUUCGGACUGCAUAAGGGAUUCAGUAACGGCAGGAGAACGGCUUUGGAACAGCCGGCCAGAGAGGGUGAGAGCCCCGUAUCCGAAGCCAGAGCUGACCCGGCAGGAUCCAGAGUACCACGGGACACGGGAAACCCUGUGGGAACGAGCGGAGACCACUCCGUAAGGCUAAAUACUACUCAGUGACCGAUAGCGUAUAGUACUGUGAAGGAAAGGUGAAAAGAACCCCGGGAGGGGAGUGAAAGAGAACCUGAAACCCUGUGUCUACAAGCUGUGGAAGUGCUUCUUAUGCACGACCGCGUACUUUUUGUAGAACGGUCCGGCGAGCUGCGGGUACUGGCAAGGUUAAGCACCUAAGGUGCGGAGCCGUAGGGAAACCAAGUCUUAAGAGGGCGUUUUAGUCAGUACGUGCAGGCCCGAAACCGGGUGACCUAUCCAUGUCCAGGUUGAAGCCGCCGUAAAAGGCGAUGGAGGACCGAACCCACAUCCGUUGAAAAGGGUGGGGAUGAGGUGUGGAUAGCGGAGAAAUUCCAAUCGAACCCGGAGAUAGCUGGUUCUCCUCGAAAUAGCUUUAGGGCUAGCCUCAUACAAGUCUGCCGGAGGUAGAGCACUGAAUUUCCGCGGGGGCGUCAAAGCCUACCAAAGAAUAUCAAACUCCGAAUGCCGGACAGAUGGUGUAUGGGAGUCAGACUGUACGAGAUAAGUUGGACAGUCAAAAGGGAAAGAGCCCAGACCGCCGGCUAAGGUCCCAAAGUGGGUGUUAAGUGGAAAAGGAUGUGGGAUCUCUAAGACAACCAGGAUGUUGGCUCAGAAGCAGCCAUUCAUUAAAAGAGUGCGUAACAGCUCACUGGUCGAGAGGUCCUGCGCCGAAAAUGUCCGGGGCUGAAACACCACACCGAAGCCGCGGAACCCGUAAGGGUUGGUAGAGGAGCAUUCUUAGGGGAGCGAAGCAUUACCGGAAGGGGAUGUGGACUGCUAAGAAGAGAGAAUGCCGGAAUGAGUAGCGAGAGCAAGGUGAGAAUCCUUGCGGCCGAAUAUCCAAGGUUUCCAGAGUAAAGCUGAUCUGCUCUGGGUAAGUCGGGGCCUAAGGAGAGGCAGAGAUGCGUAUCCGAUGGACAGCAGGUUUAAGAUUCCUGCACCCCUUGUUAUCAGAACUGCGGGGACACGGGAAGGGAAGCAGAGCCGGGAAUGGAAAGCCCGGUGCAAGCGAAGUAGUCGCAGGGUUGGAAAAUCCGCCCUGCAUGAGACGAAGGCGUGAUGCGGAGCGAAAUGAAGUAGUGAAGCUGCGGCCCCUUCCUGUCGAGAAAAGCCGCUAUCGUGUAGCAAGGGCCCGUACCGUAAACCGACACAGGUGGAUGAGGAGAGGAUCCUAAGGCCGGCGGGAGAAGUGUUGUUAAGGAACUCGGCAAAAUGACUCCGUAACUUCGGGAGAAGGAGUGCUGCGCAAGCAGCCGCAGAGAAAUGGCCCAAGCAACUGUUUAGCAAAAACACAGGUCUAUGCGAAACCGAAAGGUGAGGUAUAUGGGCUGACGCCUGCCCGGUGCUGGAAGGUUAAGGGGAGAUGUUAGAGCAAUCGAAGCAUCGAACUUAAGCCCCAGUAAACGGCGGCCGUAACUAUAACGGUCCUAAGGUAGCGAAAUUCCUUGUCGGGUUACGGCCUGCAGGCGGCGGCAGACCUGGGCAGCGGUCUGGCCAAAAACGGGGCCAUCAUCGUCAGCGGUCUGGCCGAUGGGCUGGACAGCGCCGGGCACCGGGCCGCAGUGAAGGAGAACUGCCCCACCAUCGGGGUGCUGGGCGUGCCCAUUGACCGCACCUACCCGGCCUCCAACCGGGAGCUGCGGAAAAAGAUCGAGCAAAAGGGCUGCGUGAUCAGCGAGUACCCGCCCGAGAGCGGCCCUGUUGGCCCCAAUGGCUUUUUGCAGCGCAACCGGCUCAUUGCGGCGCUGUCCUCGGCGCUGGUGGUGGUGGAAGCGCAGGAAAAGAGCGGCACCAUGUCCACAGUCAACCAUGCCGAGCGGUAUGGCAAGCCGGUGUUCGUGGUGCCGGGCAGCAUCUACUCGCCCAACUCAGCAGGCACCAAUGCCCUGCUGCGGGAGGGCCGUGCCAAAGCCGUCUGUAAGCCCGGCGACCUGUCCGGGGUGCUGGGCCUGCGGGGCGCAGCGGCUCCGGCGGCGGUGCGCUCUGCGCCUGACCCCAUGAGCGAGACUGA